UGGGGAAUAUUGGACAAUGGGCGAAAGCCUGAUCCAGCCAUGCCGCGUGUGUGAAGAAGGUCUUCGGAUUGUAAAGCACUUGAAGUUGGGAGGAAGGGCAGUAAGCGAAUACCUUGCUGUUUUGACGUUACCGACAGAAUAAGCACCGGCUAACUCUGUGCCAGCAGCCGCGGGAAUACAGAGGGUGCAAGCGUUAAUCGGAAUUACUGGGCGUAAAGCGCGCGUAGGUGGUUCGUUAAGUUGAAUGUGAAAGCCCCGGGCUCAACCUGGGAACUGCAUCCAAAACUGGCGAGCUAGAAUAAGGCAGAGGGUGGUGGAAUUUCCUGUGUAGCGGUGAAAUGCGUAGAUAUAGGAAGGAACACCAGUGGCGAAGGCGACCACCUGCGCUCAUACUGACACUGAGGUGCGAAAGCGUGGGGAGCAAACAGG
rnacentral:rRNA from 1 species